rnacentral:rRNA from 1 species
GCAUCGAUUUUAAAUUAAAGCUCCGGCGCUGGAAGAUGAGUGUGCGUACUAUUAGCUAGUUGGUAAGGUAAUGGCUUACCAAGGCUACGAUAGUUAGGGGGCGUGAGAGCGUGACCCCCCACACGGGUACUGAGACACGGACCCGACUCCUACGGGAGGCAGCAGUAAGGAAUAUUGGACAAUGGGCGCAAGCCUGUCCAGCCAUACCGCGUGGAGGAUGACUGCCCUAUGGGUUGUAAACUCCUUUUAUUUGAGAAGAAACCCCGAUAUUUAUAUUGGGCUGACGGUAUCUUAUGAAUAAGCACCGGCUAACUCCGUGCCAGCAGCCGCGGUAAUACGGAGGGUGCAAGCGUUAUCCGGAAUCACUGGGUUUAAAGGGUGCGUAGGUGGUUUAGUAA